rnacentral:rRNA from 1 species
UGAUGCUGAUGGAAAUUUAAAAAAAAACUUUUUUAAAAAUAAAAAUUGAAUUUUUUUUAAUUUGUGCAAAAACAAUUAUAUUUAUUAAAGACAAGAAGACCCUAAGAAUUUAAGAUUUUACAAUUAAAAAGUUUUUUUUUAAAAUCUUGAUUGGGGCGAUCAAAAAAUAUUAAUAACUUUUUAAAAUUUAAAUUGAUCUAUUAUUAAUAAACUAAUGAAUUAAAUACUCUAGGGAUAACAGCGUAAUAAUUUUUGAUAGAUCUUAUUGACAAAAUAGUUUGCGACCUCGAUGUUGGAUUAGGAUUCUUUUUUAAUGAAGAAGUUAAAAAAAGAAGUUUGUUCAACUUUUAAAUUCCUACUUGAUCUGAGUUCAGACCGGAUGCAGGGCCUGGGCACAGCCCUUGCCCACAUCACCAUAGACCGCUACCACGGCUACCUUGCUGGCAAUCAUCACACCUAUGGCCUACUUGAUCUGAGUUCAGACCGG